rnacentral:rRNA from 1 species
UAGAGUUUGAUCCUGGCUCAGAACGAACGCUGGCGGCAGGCUUAACACAUGCAAGUCGAACGCGUGUAGCAAUACACGAGUGGCGCACGGGUGAGUAACACGUGGAUAUCUGCCUUUUGGUUCGGAAUAACCCUGGGAAACUAGGGCUAAUACCGAAUGGUUCCUACGGGAUAAAGAUUUAUCGCCAAAAGAUGAGUCCGCGUCCGAUUAGCUAGUUGGUGAGGUAAUGGCUCACCAAGGCGACGAUCGGUAGCUGGUCUGAGAGGACGAUCAGCCACACUGGGACUGAGACACGGCCCAGACUCCUACGGGAGGCAGCAGUGGGGAAUAUUGGACAAUGGGGGCAACCCUGAUCCAGCCAUGCCGCGUGAGUGAUGAAGGCCUUCGGGUUGUAAAGCUCUUUUGGCGGGGACGAUGAUGACGGUACCCGCAGAAUAAGCCCCGGCUAACUUCGUGCCAGCAGCCGCGGUAGCCCAAUCGCC